GGGUUGUGAGGUUAAGCGACUAAGCGUACACGGUGGAUGCCCUGGCAGUCAGAGGCGAUGAAGGACGUGCUAAUCUGCGAAAAGCGCCGGCGAGGUGAUAUGAACCUUUGACCCGGCGAUGUCCGAAUGGGGAAACCCAGUGUGAUUCGUCACACUAUCGUUAACUGAAUACAUAGGUUAACGAGGCGAACCGGGGGAACUGAAACAUCUAAGUACCCCGAGGAAAAGAAAUCAACCGAGAUUCCCCCAGUAGCGGCGAGCGAACGGGGAGCAGCCCAGAGUCUGAAUCAGCUUGUGUGUUAGUGGAAGCGUCUGGAAAGUCGCACGGUACAGGGUGACAGUCCCGUACACGAAAGCACACAGGUUGUGAACUCGAAGAGUAGGGCGGGACACGUGGUAUCCUGUCUGAAUAUGGGGGGACCAUCCUCCAAGGCUAAAUACUCCUGAC
rnacentral:rRNA from 1 species